rnacentral:lncRNA from 1 species
UAUCAGUUUUCAUUGAUAUUCCAAACAUAAGUAUUCAAGCGAUAUACAUUGAAAAAUGUGUAAAGAUUAAAUUUAUAUAAAAGUUGCAUAUCACUUGCAGACUUUACAUUAAUCAUUUAUACGUCUGAUGUAUUGGAGUAUCAAACUAAAUUCGUUGAAUCAACAAGAUUAUUUACAUGACAUGUUUUAAUAACAAUCCUAGCAUGCCUCGGGUCAUUGCUUUUUCGUUCUAAGUUGUUGUGUCCUUAACAAAAAUCCAUUAUUCCAAUUCAUCUAUUUUAUCGGUUUUCAAAUACUUGAAAUGCAUAUUCUUGACCGGACUCGUGAAUCUUCCGGAAAUAAUUUGUGUAUCGCUAAAUCCUCGAGGAAAUAAUUUUCUAUCGGUUAAUCCU